GCUGCAUCCAAGAUGGCGGCCUGCAUCUGACACAGUAGUGAGAGUGAGAGCGCCUCCAUGAAAAUAUAACUUAUUAUACUUCUUCUAACUUCUUCUAACUCGGUAAGAGCCUGUCUGACCACCUGUGCCGCAGCACGACUACAUCCUGGUCACUAUGGGCCGCACGCCACACAAAGACCAGAAAGAAGAAAAGAAGGAGAGGCCCAGUAAUAUCAGCAGCACUUCUGUGCUGGACAAAUCUAAUGAGCCCUUCAGUUGGGAAGACUACCUGAGAGAAACCUCCACUGUUGCUGCCUCACCCACGUGUUUCAAGCAGUCCAGAAUCCCCCCCUCCAAUGACUUUAAGGCGGGCAUGAAGCUUGAGGCUCGCGACCCUCGCAACGCCAACUCUGUGUGCAUCGCCACGGUGAUGGGCAUGAUGGGUACUCGCCUGCGCCUGCGCCUGGAUGGCAGUGACAACACCAACGACUUCUGGAGACUGGUGGACUCCUCUGACAUCCAACCCAUAGGAACCUGUGAGAGGACCGGGGACAUGCUGCAGCCCCCGCUAGGUUUCAGGAUGAACGCUUCCUCCUGGCCUAUGUUCCUCCUGCGGACGCUGAGUGGAGCAGAAAUGGCACCAGCCUCUUCCUUUAAGAAGGAACCGGCUUGCCCCGUGGAAAACUACUUUCAAGCUGGAAUGAAGCUGGAAGCUGUGGACAGGAAGAACCCCUACCUGAUUUGUCCCGCCACAGUGGGCGAGGUCAAAGGCCCGGAGAUCUUUGUCAUGUUUGACGGCUGGCGAGGAGCCUUCGACUACUGGUGCCCCUUCCACUCCAGAGACAUCUUCCCCGUGGGCUGGUGUGCCCUGACCAAGCACAGUCUGCAACCGCCCGGAAACUUCUUCACCCUCCCAGGUGCCCUCCUGGCCCCCGUGUCCUCCUCCUCGCCAUCCCUGUCCACACGCCGCUCCACCUCCAACUCCACGGCCUCCUCCACCAUGCAGACCUCCUACAGACUGCCCAACCCGCUGCCCCCCCUGCCCGUGCGCAAGGGGGUCAGAGGUCGCCGGCCCAAGUCGCAAACCAUCGCUCUGUUGAAGGCGGCGGCCGAGGCGGCGGCGGCGGCGGCGAGCGUGACCGGAGUGUCAGAGAGCCCUGUGAGGGCCACUCAGCUGGCCCCCCACAGACCACAUAGGAAGCGAGGGCCCAAGCCUGGGAGCAAGAGGAAGUCCCGGGUGUUGCCGUCGCUGGGGUCGUCAUCCAUCAAAGCUGCUCCGCCUCCAGAGAGCAGACUGAGCUCCAGCCACGUCUCAGUGGACAGUCACCAUAGCAACAGCACCGGCGUGGUCUGCACAGUCUGCGUCUACGUCAACAAACAUGGCGACUACGGCCCGCAUCUGGACCGCAAACUGGUGCAGCAGCUGCCAGACCACUUCGGUCCUGCUCCCGUCAACGCUGUGCUGCAGCAGGCUGUGCAGGCGUGUGUGGACUGUACGUACCAGCCCUCGGUCCUGCUGGCCUUCCUGCAGAGCCAGUCCCACACGGGAGGAGAGGUCAUCCGAGUGCGCUCCGAGCAUGGCAUCCGCUACGUCAAGCUGCCCUCCGUCACCUGCGCCUCCACCGUGCUCAGGUUCUUGGAGAACAUGUGUCAGCACCUGGAGAGUGUCAGCCUCUUCAGCACGCAGCCCUUCAGCUCCUACAACAAGAACACACGCUUCUUGGACAGGACCAAGUCAGAACCAGUGUCCCAGACGGAGAACGGUGUUUCCAAGGAUGAGAUCAUCAAAGAUGGUGUUGCCAAGGCGAGGUCUCCUCACGUGACCACAGACUACCGGGCGGCAAAGAGGGAGCGGCCAUAUUUCACCUCCCACUCGCACACACCUCCACCUGUGCGGCGAGUCAGCUCCACCCCCAGCGAGCACAGCCAGGUGUCGAGCCACAGACGUGUGGAAGCAGCCAGCUCCACUACAGGACCAGACCACGUGACUCAGGACAAGGACACUUCAGCCACUGAUGCUACUUCCUGGUCAGUGGAGGAAGUCAUACGCUUUGUGCAGGAGGCUGACCCACUCACCCUUGGUCCUCAUGUGGACCUCUUUAGGAAACAUGAGAUCGACGGGCGAGCGCUGAUGUUGCUGCGCAGUGAUGUCAUCAUGAAGUACAUGGGACUGAAGUUAGGUCCUGCUCUCAAACUCUGUCACCACAUCGACAAACUGAAACUAAGCAAACAAUGAAAGUACUUUCUUCUUCAAGUACUCCUCAUGCUGCUGUCAAUCAUUCUUCCAAAUCAACCACACAAACAUGACAUCAUUGCUCUUUGAUGUUCUCCCAUGUAAUCUAUUACUUACAAAGCAGCAUUGUGGUGAUCAGCAGCAGAAAUAUGAGGCUGUCAGGAUGUCUUUAUUACAAAACAAUGACUUUAUACAACUGAACAACUUCCUUUUUCUAUCAAAUUAUGCUGACGGUUUUAGUGAACAACUAAUUGUUGAAAUACAUUGUUUUAAAACAUUCCGUGUUCAAAAAUUCAGUAUUAAAAAAAUCAGUGUAUGAAAAUGCAGUGCAAAAAAAGGCAGUGUAUAAAAUUUGUGUAAAAAAAUGUUAUUGUAAAAAAGAAAUCAGUGUAUGAAAAUUCAAUUUGACAUAAAUUCCAUGCAUAAAAAUGUGUCGCUGCAAAACUGCAAACUGACUUCAGUAAAUGAAGCAAUCGAUCGUGUCUUCAAAGCUUCACUCUUUAUUUACCUGAAGAACAGAAGUUUCUGCACAUCUCUUACGUACACUUUUAUUUGUAUGAACUGACAUUUCUCAACCGAAGUUUUGUACGUUGAAUUUUAAAACCACAUUUUUUUAUUCCAUGAAACUGUCAGCAUAAUCAGAUGUCAAACAAUUCAGUCCACAAAAAAUCAAAGGUUGAGUUUACACAUCACAACUUUCCUGUCGCUGAAACAUGUCAGUAACAUUUCAACAAGUUAUGGCAACUCCACCUCGUUUUAUCAGCCAAUAGUGAAGAAUAUUCAUGUUUUACUUGGAAGUGUGACAUCAAUCAAGUCAUAGUCUCCACACUUUAGUCACGUCCAUCCAGUGUUAGCAUGUUGUCUGCUCGUAUUGCAAGAUUUCUUUGGAACAAUUCUUUCUUUUUGUGCAGGGAAGUUCUUUCCUUAGCAGUACAAAGCAAAACACAUUUUUCCGGCUGGUUGGUUGAUCCUCAUUUCACAUUGUUGCUCUUCAUCACUUUAAUACUUUGAAGCCAUCUUUGCUUUAAUGUCAAACUCAGGUUUUUUCCAUCUUUUCUCCAGUGUUUCACAGUAGCAGACCAUAGAAGAUGCUCCUAGUGGGCCACCAUACACCCGAGAGACUCUCAGACCAGGAGAAACUACGUUUGUAAAGGAUCUGGUCUGAUUGAUGAGACAAAGAUCCCAGUCUUUGGCGUGAAUGUUUUGGAGGAAACAUCACCAGGACAACACCACCCCGACGGUGAAGCAUGCUGGUGGCGGCAUCAUUUUGUGGGGGUGGCUUUUUAAUCAGGAACUGGUGGACUAGUCAGGAUAGAGGGAAAGAUGAAUGCAGCAAUGUACGGAGACACCCUGCAUGAAAACCUUCCCAUCCAAGCUGAUGGAGCUUGAGAGGAACGAGAGAAGCUGCCCAAAGAUAGGUGUGCCAAGUUUGAAGCUUUGAACUCGGAAAUGGAAGCGCCCUUUUCAUCUUCUGGCCGUCUAUAACGUUUCUACCCGUAUGGAUUAUUCAUUCGUCACUCCAAAUGACGUUUGCGAGUUUUACAAUAAAACAAUUCUUACUUACCAAAGUGUCCC